GGCAGAGCAGGGCUGCCCAGUAGCUGACUCAUCUGACAUUACCAUAAUUACAGCGAUUUUCAAACUGUGAGUAAUGCCUGGUGUCAGAGAAUGUCAGGGAACGUUUCUGAGCACUCCCAGCCGCUGCUCGAGGCUGAACCAAGCCAAGGGCAGGGAAGUGCCCUGGGACACCACCUGCCUCAGCCAGCAGGUAACCCAGGGGCUCCAAGGAUUGAGCUUCUCUGGGACCAUCGCCUCUGGUGUUUAAACGGAGUGUGUCUCCUAGGUGAUUCCAAGCCCAUCGCGUUGACGGUGAAGACUAACCAUCUCAGUUCACAGCUAGAAGAUGAGACACCAGCCUCACCAUUCCCUUCAAAGACGCAUCGCCUGUGGCACCCCUCCCCCAUUCAAAGACGCAUCGCCUGUGACACCACCUCUCCCCCAUUCAAAGACGCAUCACUUGUGACACCCCUCCCCCAAACAUCCACCAUUUAUCUAAUGCCAUGCUGGGAAGCAAGCCUUUAUUACACAGGCCUUUAGGGGACCGGAUGGAGUAGCUAUGUAAUAAAAGUUUGUCCGUGCCCUGAGCAUGUGUAUAGCAUUGAG
rnacentral:lncRNA from 1 species